rnacentral:rRNA from 1 species
UACGUAGGGUCCGAGCGUUGUCCGGAAUUACUGGGCGUAAAGAGCUCGUAGGUGGUUUGUCGCGUUGUUCGUGAAAACUCACAGCUCAACUGUGGGCGUGCGGGCGAUACGGGCAGACUGGAGUACUGCAGGGGAGACUGGAAUUCCUGGUGUAGCGGUGGAAUGCGCAGAUAUCAGGAGGAACAUCCGUGGCGAAGGCGGCUCUCUGGGACGGUACUGACGCUGAGACGCGAAAGCGUGGGGAGCGAACAGG